GACGGUAUAGCUCAAGCGGUAGAGCAUAUGCUUAGUAUGCAUGAGGUCCUGGUUUCAAUCCCCAGUACCUCCU
rnacentral:tRNA from 1 species